rnacentral:misc_RNA from 1 species
AAGUCGUAACAAGGUUUCCGUAGGUGAACCUGCGGAAGGAUCAUUAACACGUAUCCAACGUUAAAACAACCCCCGUGAACUUUCAGCUUGCGAAUUUCACGCGCGUGUUGUCGUAAAGGGGCAGAGCCCGGUGACCCGGUCGCCAACCGUGUGGGCCUACAGCGAUCGUGACUGCGCCAUCCUUACAUAAUCAAUGCAGGCACUGAUUACUUGGGAUGCCAAGGUCACUAGAUGCAAUCGCUCAACCGUAGCUAUACAAUCGGCAGAGGUCCCUGACUCAAAAGCUGGUCAACAAUGAUUUACCAGGGAUUGCUGUCUGUUAACAAUGGAUAUCUUGGUUCUC